GUGUCAGCCGCCGCGGUAACACGGGGGGAGCAAGCGUUGUUCGGAAUCACUGGGCGUAAAGGGUGUCUAGGCGGUCAGGUAAGUGAGAUGUGAAAUGCCCCGGCUUACCCGGGGACCGGCAUCUCAUACUGUCUGGCUUGAGUAUGGGAGAGGAUGAGGGAAUUCCUGGUGUAGCGGUGAAAUGCGUAGAUAUCAGGAGGAACACCGGUGGCGAAAGCGCUCAUCUGGCCCAAUACUGACGCUGAAGCACGAAAGCUAGGGGAGCAAACGGGAUUAGAAACCCGGGUAGUCC
rnacentral:rRNA from 1 species